GACCUCUCUUGCAUGUGAACCAUCAUCGGUUCACACCUAAUUGUUUCAAGUGUUCUGCUGGGUGGCCAUCUUGUCGCACGAAAGCAGGCAGUGGUGUUCGGACGUCGAGUGUAUGGAACUUAAAUCAGACAGAAUAACUCGCAAACACCGCUGAACUUCUAUCAUCGCCUGCUUCUUUUUCAAGCAUCUCAGGAGAGUGAAGUUCAGUAGGAUUAUUUGCACAAAUUAGG